rnacentral:tRNA from 1 species
AUAGGAAUAGUUUAAAAAAAAUGAUUGAUUGUGGAUCAAUAGAUAGGUUUCAACCUUUCUUAUA